rnacentral:rRNA from 1 species
AACGAACGCUGGCGGCAGGCCUAACACAUGCAAGUCGAGCGGUAACAUUUCUAGCUUGCUAGAAGAUGACGAGCGGCGGACGGGUGAGUAACGCGUGAGAAUCUACCCAUGAGUGGGGGACAACCCGGGGAAACUCGGGCUAAUACCGCAUACGCCCUUCGGGGGAAAGAUUUAUCGGAGAAGGAUCGGCCCGCGUUAGAUUAGAUAGUUGGUGGGGUAACGGCCUACCAAGUCUACGAUCUAUAGCUGGUUUUAGAGGAUGAUCAGCAACACUGGGACUGAGACACGGCCCAGACUCCUACGGGAGGCAGCAGUGGGGAAUCUUAGACAAUGGGCGCAAGCCUGAUCUAGCCAUGCCGCGUGUGUGAUGAAGGUCUUAGGAUCGUAAACCUCUGUCGGAAGGGAAGAAAGGUCUCUGUUCAAAUAGGGCAGGGGCUUGACGGUACCUUCAAAGGAAGUACCGGCUAACUCCGUG